rnacentral:lncRNA from 1 species
CGGGGCCGUGCCGCGGCCGGCGGCGGCCGGAGUUGGUGGUGCGCGCGGGCGCGGCGCUCGCAGCCCGUCCCGGGACUCGGCGGAGCGCGGCCCGGCGGCCGGCCGCCCUCAGCGAGCCUCCUCGCAGCCGCCGCACUCGGGAGGCGCCGCGGGGCCGGGAGUCCCCGUCAGGUGAGCUGUGGGGGGCCGCCCCUGGGCGGGGGGCGCCGCGGGGUCGGGUUUCCUCGGCGGGGCCCCGACCGCGGCCGCGCGGGGGGAGGCGGGAGGUGCGGGUGAGCGGCGCCGGCUGAGGCGCUCCGUCCGCGAGCGGAGAGCGGCGCGCGGCGGGAGAGGCGGCACGCGGCGGUGCGCUCCGCGGUCGGAGCGAAGUUGCGUCCGGGCGGCGGGGACGGUGCCUUUGUUCGGGCUGCGGCUGCCCGCCUUCAUCCCCGCCGCGCUGCGAGUGCGGACGGCGCCCGGCUGCGCUCCUCUGCCCCGCGCCGGGACGCCCCACCGGCGGGCGCUGCUCGGCGUCUGCCCUUCCCGGGGCAGUCCCCGUGCGAGGAGAUGUCUGGCGGACGAACAAGUUGGAGCACGCCUCCCCUGCCUCGUUCCUGGGUUAGCGCUCCCGGGUCUCUCCUUUCCUUUUCCUUUUUCCUGUUGAGCGUCCCUUUUUCCUACGGUCGGAACGGAACGACGGUUUCCCCACUCGUGCUCGUUGCUUGCUCGCUCCUCCUGACGUCUGACACAAAGCCAGCUUUGGGGUGACUUCACCCCGGCAGCCGUUUCCCUUUUACAUCAUGUGCCUGUCAGACCUGCCUAUCCCCGGGCCUGGGAUCGGCAGCCCGGGGCUGGUGGGGCUGCUGGGAUGGCCCAGAGGCGCUCUGUGGCUGCUGCCACCUGCCCUUCCAGCCCUGCUUCACAGCAUCCCUGCCCAGCUGCCCUCUGUGCUGCAGCCGGCCACACGUGUGGUAUGGAGGUGUGAGCUGCUGUGCUGCCGUGGGACGUCGUGAGGACGUGUGGUGUGGAAAGAGAUGGCAAAGAGAAUGCUUGGCCAGGGAACCUGGGAACAAGACUGUUAUUAUGCUGCUGUCGGUGUGAUAAGUCCAGGUGUUUUUAACCUAGUUACGAUAGAACAGCAGCGACCAAUGAGCCACGGGCUGGUUCAUUGAAACAAAGUUCAAGGAAAUGAUGUUGAGUCGACUGCAAGGCACGUGUGGCAUCUCAUGGCUGACAGCAGCAGCCAGGAGCCAUCAGUGCAGCCUCAUUCACUCCGCAGUCCCAUCAGGUAAGAUGGGAGGGAGAGGUGUGCGUCCCCACAGGGCUGGCACAGCACGGAGCCCACAGCAGUGCUGCACGGCUGCAGGGUGCUCCCAUGCAGCACUGCUGCUCAAGGAGUGAGCACUGCCCUGGGAUUUAUGCUCUGCUGCUUCACAUGGUAUCAGCACAACGAUGUGGGAUUGCUGUUACCCUCAUUCAAAGUUCAGAGUGGAAAAAUGCAGGCUGAGGAGCGGAAUGAGGCUCUGCUUGUUGGCUCUUAAAGUGGAGAAGGAGGCGAGAGCUUUACAGUUUGUGGAGUGCCAGUGACAAGGACAGAGCGCUUGGUUCUACGAGCUAGCAGUGCCAGUCACUGCUCCCAUACCUCAAGCUGCCCUUCCAAUACAUGGUGGUUUAGCGUGGUAGCCUGCGUGUUUCCUCUUGGUUUCUCCAAGUCAUAAGCAGAGAUUGUGGCCCGCGUGGGAAGAAUGUCAGUCUUCCUUCUGCCGAAGAUGAGUGGCUGAGUCACUGAAGCAGUCUCUUUCCCCAUAUCUCUGCAAGUGGACUGAGCGGAUUUGAGAUUGCCCGAUGGCUGAGAGGUGUGGAUGGAGGCGGCUGCACUGUGGGCGGUUAAGCUGGAAGAGGGUGGGUUUAGGGUAGGUAUUAGGAAGACAUUCUUUGCUGUGAGGGCGGUGAGACACUGGAACAGGUUGCCCGGUGAGGCUGUGAAUGCUGCUCCCUGGAAGCACUCAAGGCCAGGUUGGAUAUGGCUGUGUGCAGCCUGGGCUAGAGAGAGGUGUCCCUGCCUGGAGCAGGGGAUGAAACGAGGUGAUCUUAAAGGUCCCCUCCAACCCGAAGCAUUCUGUGAGCAGCAGGUACUGGGAUGGCAGAUGGUGGUGCCAGGCACACGGAUAGAAAUGCACCCAGCAGACCCGGUGCCCAUCCUGCAUGGGCUGUAACACGGAUGCUUUUGCAUCAGUUAUAGUAGCAGUAACAGUGUAAGGAAGGCCAUCCUGCUGCCGUCACUGUUGAUUUCAGGAGGUGUGCGUAGUGAGGCUCUUGGAAUCAAAGCAAACAAACAGAUGAAGUGAUGCCAGGCCUCACACUGUGGGCUUCUGCAGUGCUUGUUUUGGUAACACCUUGUCUGAGGCGGCAGGCCAGCGUGGUGCUAAGGGGUGACAUCCUUCCUUUAUAAAGCCACUGCUAUUUUAGACAGUACUGUGACAAGCACAGCGUUUGGCAGAUAAAGGCCAACUCCUGGUGCUUGGGCAGAUCUGGGUUGCUGCAGUGCUUGACUGAGGCUCUAUAGGAGAGCACUCAGUGAGAGAUUCAUGGUUAUGCUUUCAAUGUUUCCAUAAAUCCUUUUAACAGGUGUGGUUCUGAGCCUUGAAGAGUCCUUUCCUGAAUGGAUGCCUGUAGUUAUCAGGCCGUACCGAGCUCAUCCGAGGAGCCAGGUGGGAUAUGGCUUGGAAUGCUGUGCGUGCAUACUGAGGUGCAGCCAUCCAGCUCCAAGGCUCUUCCUGUCAAACCUUCGUAGACAUUUAGAAGGCAAUGGUUUGCUAUUAGCAUGAUCAAAUUCAGACAUCCUUCUGUGUUGACUUUGGAGCCGUUGGCUCCUGAGAGAGGUUUCUGCACGUGUCACUGAUGCUCUUGCUGUCUCCUCGGCUGCCAAAUAGGCUGUCAGGCAGCGUUGUUACUUUGCUUCUUGGUCCGCCAGUGCCCUUUCUGGUGGUUUUCGUGGCGGUGGUUUUCAACACAGCAAGAGGAAGAGCAGCUUAAAAAGGGGAAACAUAUAAUCCUCCCCAUUACCGGGCAGUGAAUUCCAAAACAGGCUCUUCUGAAAUAAUGGAAACACUUGAGCAUCUUACAGCCCUUGGGCUGGAAGCGCCCUGGUGUGGCUAUUGGUUUUCUGGCUGCUUUUUUACCCUGGGCAGAUUUGUCCUUUCUCUCUGCUUCUUGUUGGUUCCUGAUCAGCCGCAGAGAAACCUUUGGGCUGGUGGGGAAGCCCAGCAAAUCACCGCUCCUCUCUGCAAACGCUCUUCCUUUAAGAAACUUCCAAGUUUAAUGCAGAUCUCAGAGAGAAUAAAUACCAGUGCAGAAGUUUUCUGCGGAGGAACAAUCCACGUGUAAUUGGUUUUCCGUUUGCUCUGUGCCUCCCUACGCUGAACUGGGUAUUUUUACUUAAAAACAGAUUGCACAAUGCUCUCCGGUGUCAGUCGGUCUGUAACUGUAUGGUUAAGGAGCGUGACUCGUGCUGUUUGGAAUGAUGCUUGGAGGAGGUAGUUUAUUUCCAUGACUUUUGUACUGUAAACUGUAGAUGUUCCGUCUUCAGAGGCAGGGAGAUAACUGAUGGGGAGCAAAGAUGCACAGCAUGUGGGGGACACACACACUGCCCAUGCAGCUGGUUGAAGCCAUGUGCUGGCCUGGCACAUCAGCAGAGGCAGCUCGCUGGGCUGAGCAAUAAGUGCCCAUCCGAGGCAAUAAGGUUGACCAUCUUAGAGCUUCUUAUCUGUAACUCUGUGCAUUUAUACUGUGGCUGUUUGUGGUCGUUGUUGUGAUUUGUUUCAAGGGGUGCAAUAUGAGGUUAUUUGCAAGAAAGCCUCGGACUUGCUGGGCUGCUCAAGGUGCUCUCGGUGACAUGUCUUGAUUGCAAUAAUUGUGCAGAUGGUAGGGCAGGCCUUCUUGGAAUGAGCAAACGGGUGUUUCAAGGUCACCACCUCUGGCUUGGGAAGGUUGCUUGGGCAGCUUGGGAAGCAGAGACGUGUUAGGACAAGGCUUGCCAUGACCUGAAGUGCUCUUAUGCUCAUGGGUUCAUCCAGCCAGAGUUUUUCAUACCACCAAGACAGACAGACCUGCAGUACGCUGCUGUAUCCGCCAUGGGGCUGCUCACCCUGCCCUCUGAGCUCCCCCACGGUGCUGCUCUGCUGCAGCACUUCCAUGGGUGGGAGCAAAGCCCUUCCCAAGCAGCCUCUUGUAGCGCCGUGCAUCAGCAGUGCUGUGCCCUGGGAUGGGAAGCACCCACUUGCAGCAGGAGCUGUACACUGUUAGUAACAGUUACCAUGAGAAGCCUUCAGCCCGCAGCUCAGCAGUUACAAGGUGAGGCAGUGGGGAGGCGAGAGAUCCCUCAGCAGUGCUGGAGCCUCAGUCACAGUGUGUUCUCCUGCAGGCUGGGCUGUUAGCACCGUGUUUCUGCCUGCUGGAAUGGGAGAGGUGUUGGAUUGCUUCUCCAUCUGUGCAGUUGUUUUCAGAGAGCAGCUGCAGGUUCCUCUCUGGUUGGUGGUGGUGUUCAGCAAAUAACGCUUCUGCACUCAGUAUUGCAAGUCAUUGUAAAUUGCAUCGUAUAAAUAGCAAGAAGCGUUGCAUUUAAAAAGCAAACAAACAAAAAAAAGCCUGCUGCUCACCCUUUGUGCUUUACAGGCUUGUUGCUUCUCUUUGUAGCACAGAACAGCGCUAACAUUGCAGGCUUUUCUUGUCCUUUGCAGAUGGACUUCAUUGCUGGUGACUGUGCCUUAUCUUUGUUUAUCAAUGUAAAUCACCAGCGCUAUUCCUGAGCAAUGGAGAUAGCAGUGACAUUCCUUCUGAAGCUACACUCAGCCUGAGAAACUGUGUUGUACAGAAACAUGUUGGGAAAGAUAACCCGCGUGGGUUAUCGGAGAGGGCUCUGCUCAGCCCUUGUGGAUGAGGUGAUGGAAAAGGGCUGUGUUACUGCUUUCUAAAAGGUUCCAGAGCAGCUGCCAGGGCUCUCCAUGGAAAGGACUGAGAUUUCUUAAGCUUUCAAGCAUUACUUAAGUUGCUGUUGUUUUCUGGAGAUGACCACCAUCCUCUGUGUGUUAGGUCUGUCUGUCCUCCAAAACCCAGCCUGUAUCACCCCCAUGCAAGGCUGACUUGGAGGCCUUCACAUGGAAAUUGUGAGCAUCCGAACCAAAUGCAGCAUGUAGAAUGGAGAAGGGAAUGUGAAUCCAUGUAACGAAUAAUGUUCUCUUCAGUGGUGAGUGCUGCUUCCCGGGCAGUACUUACUGUGUCAGCCAGUAGUCCUUCAUGUUGUAUUAUAUGGGUUGUAUGAUGCAUGCUUUUAGGUAGCGCUGGCCACAAGAGCUGCUGUUCCUUUUCCAUGUUUAUAGUGUAUAUAUGAGAGAGGAACGUUCAUCAGCACAGCCUCGUACCCAAGUAUUCUGUCUACUUAGUAAUGCAACUUAUUGGGUUUGUCCCCAUUGGGUCUCAUGAGGGAGAUGCUUAUCCCUUCCAACCUGCGCUUCAGUGGAAUGGGAGCAGUUUUGUUACCAUCUAUCAGCUCGUUUUUUUUACCUUGGGGUGCACAUGAGGUGAUCACUGUAACUUACUGUGAUACUUAUUUGGUUCUCUCCUGCAAAUAUAUCUGUAACGUAGGUACCUGACACCUGUAGGUCCCCGCUGCUUUUAGCUUGGAUGAUUUUGCUCAGUGCUUCAAGGUUUCUUUUCUGUCCCUGUUUCUUCUCCAUGAGCUCUCCCAGCAAUGUCAGUGUUCUGCCAAGAAGAUGGAAGGCGUUCUUGUGACAUUUCUGUUGGUUGGAUGAUGCACAGUGAGGCAGCUGCCCUUUGUGCGUGCCAUCACAAGCCCCAGCAGCUCCCAUAUCCUGCUGGGGCCGACCAGUGCAGGACUGGUCCAAGAGAUGUGUGCAGUCAUUGGCCUGCCAGGCUUUUAUCUCAGAGCUCUGACAGUUCUCCUUGGAGGUGCUUGGUAUGUUCUUGGCAGUGGUUUUCUGAACAAGUUUAGAAGGGAGAGCUGUCACACCACAAAAAGGGAACUGUGCUCGUGGGUUGGAGGGAUGAACCAGACCUCCAUUUGUGUUCUUAGGGCUUAAAGAAGCACGAGGAGAACAAGCAGUCCUAUUUCACCAGGUGCCCCUCUCAGGCUGACGAGGAGCAUUCAUUGGCUUUUGUGCCCUUGGGUGUGCGCAGCGGUGCCAUUCCGGAACAGGGGAGCCAAAGGGAUAUGAUUAUGGGUAUUUCAGGUAUCACUCGGCUUUAAAGCAGAGCUUUUGGUGUUAUAGAUUGAGAUAUGUCUGUAUGAGAGGCAGAGGUGAGGGCUUGGUGUUACCCAGCCCUGCUGCUUGGUGCAGCCCAGCAGGAGCGCUCAGUCUGACUGCUGGGACCUGCAGGCCAUGGCUCCUGCUGGGAAAGCUGUACCCAGCAGCAACACGGAGGCAGCUUUUUUUCCUCUUCAGCCUCUUUAAAAUGUUGGAAUUAAUCACUUUUAUGCAGUUGUUUUGCAUACUUUUCAGAUGAGCAGCUUUCUUGAGCUUUGUGCUCUUUAUUACCUAAUCAUUGUUUUUAAAGUUCUGAGCAUGAGCUCAGUUUUUAUUUGGGUUUUGGGGAAGUAUUUGCUGCCUGUAGCCCUGUCAGACCCCACAGUUCUCCCAUCUCCAGCUCUGCAGGCCUGCAGUCCCCGCAGCUUGGAUGGGAGUCUGGGCAGCAAACUGUCUUCUGUAGUACUUCCAGGUUUCUAAAUCUUUGGAAUUUUCUCUGUAUAAAGUUACGACUUCCUGAAAAAGCAUUGGCACAGAUGGUGGAGGCUGUUAGUUUUUGGAGCUUCUCUUCAAAUCGCUCUCUGCUUUAUUUCUUCUUCCUCUUCAAAGGAGGAGAGGCUGGGGGAUGGAGCGAGCAUGGGGUGAAGGAGUCACCAGCUUUGGAAGGGGUUUUAAGUUGGAGGAGGGAAGAUUUAGGUUGGAUGUCAGGGGGAAGUUCUUUGCUGUGAGAGCGGUGAGGUGCUGCCCAGAGAGGCUGUGGAUGCCCCUUCCCUGGAGGUGUUCAAGGCCAGGCUGGAUGGGACCCUGGGCAGCCUGGUCUAGUAUUAGAUAUGGAGCUUGGCGGCCCUGCCUGCAGCAGGGGGGUUGGAGCUUAGUGAUCCUUGAGGUCCCUUCCAACCCAGACCAUUCUAUGAAAGGAGAAGAGAGUGUGGCCGUGAGAUGGGUUUGCUCAAAGAUGUUGUCCUGCUUUAGGAGCCAUCUCAUGAGCAUCCCAGCUGUGCAUGCACUGCAAGCAGAUGGACAGCUGGAGGAAAGGGCUUUAGAAAUCAGCCGAAGACAUCUCCAGUCAAACAACUACUUCAUCAGUGGCUGAUUUAACAAAGAAGAGAAUAGAAAGCUUGCCUGGAGUCAGGUAUUCAGAGCUUAAAAUUAGACCCAGAAUACCGCCAUGGUCUUGUUCACUUUGCUGCCUGGCAUCAAACUGCAGUCAGUGUUGUUUUAGUUGCCAUAAUACAGCGUGGGUAUGUAUUUUGAUCCCAGCAGCUGGGCUGCUACUGCUUCUGUUGUGAGAGGUUUAAGUCUUUAGUUCCAGUGAUGAAGCUUUAUGGUCUUACCAUGUGAAGUAUUUCCAGAGGCGUAUCCUGGCCUGCUAGGUCUGGCCAUUUGUGGCUGUUGUAUCAUCAUCUUUUUUUGUUUUACUUGCUGUCAAAACAUGUGCUGGUCACAUGGUGGGCUCUGCUCUGAGCAACAAUGGGUUUUGCUGGUUAAAUAUUUCUGCCUUGGCUGGAAGAGCUGCGCUGCAGUCAGGAGCUUGCAGCCAGACCUGCGGAUUAGUAUUUACUUUGCUCGUGUCUGAAUGCUUCAGGUUAGCAUGUGAGUUGGGAGUCAUGUUUGGAAUUAGGUUCUGCAUUGUUCAGCAGCAGGAAAGUCUUGGAAGCAGGGGCGAUGCUUCGUUUGGUGCUUAUUUCUCAGAUUUGAUCGGGAGUUCCCAUUCUAAGAUAGGAGGGGAAUGCCUGGAGUGAAUGUGGCUUUUUUCUUUGCCUUGUCUCCAAGUCAGUUUUUUGGGUAAGGAAGCCUCGCUGUGCAAAGUUUCAUCACUGACCUCAAGAUCACGUUUUCAUUGCUUUGAUAGGGGACGAGGCAGACUGCAGAGAUGCGCUCAGGUCUUCUGGUGCUCACAGCUACAGAGAGGGUGAGGACGAGUGACAGAAAGCAGCCACCCUGGAAACAUAGGCUUUCUGAAGUCUGAAAAACGUACCGAACGUAUAAAGUAGGGCAUGAUGUUCUCAUACCAAACAGAAUGCUGACUGUGACAAAUGCUUGGACAAUGCACGCAUUCUCGCUCGUGGAGCUGAAUGAGAUGCGAAUAACAGCAAAAAAAAAAGGCAAAGUGGUGUCAGCAGCAGAGAUGUGCAUUAAAAGAGCUCGGUGCAAGCAGUGGAUGCUUUUUGUAACUUCAGUGCAGCAGGUCCCAUCCAGGCCCCACAGGCUGUCAGCUUAUCCUGCAGCAGGGAAGCGGGGCUCUCUGCACUGCUCUCAUCUGGCUCAUACUUCAUCGCAGGGAUCUAUUUCUGAGUCUGCAUCAGAUUUUGCAGUCCGGGCUGUCUUAUAGCAGCCUGAUUUAGGUCUCGUUGGGUUGGAAAGCAUACACAGUGCUGCGAUUCGGACUCGCUCACAGACUUUUGGCACGUCCACAGCUGUUUGUACAGUGGUAUUGUACUGACAGAGCACGACACGCUUUGAGGAGGGCAGAUGGGAACAAUGUGCCGGAUUGCUGCGUGGGCCAGUGUGACUCACCGAGGGCUUUAGAGGUCUUUCAGGAAAAGCUGACAGGCCUCAGUGGGCUCAGUAGCUUCAUGGGGCUUUUCCCUGAGUAGGAAUCCCCAGCGGCUCUCUGGUUUGGGCUGAGUGGCUUAUGGGCACUUUGGGUCUGUGAGAUGGGCCUCCUGGUGCCGACAGCCAGGGCUGCCUUGGAGAAGCUCUGGAGCUUAAUGCAUAGAGGGAAGGAGGUGUGUGCGAUGAGUGCUUGGGAAGUCCCUCUGCUCUUUGAACAAGGGGAAUAUUUCCACCCCUGCUUUCACGUGGUGAGUGUUUUGGGUGGUUUAAUUUGUGCACAGUGCUUCCUAUGAGAGGUUGGGGCUGUCAGAGAUGCGGGACCCCUGAAGCAGUGAUCCCACACGUCCGCUCCGCUCACCCGAUGUGAGAGGACACGCUGUGUGCUCCCUGUAAAUAUCUAUAAAGCACAGAAUUGUGGAGUGGAUUGGGUUGGAAAAGACCUUAAAGCUCACCGAGUUCCACCCCCUGCUGCAGGCUGGGUGCCUUCCAGCAGCUCAGGCUGCCCGUCUGUGGCCUUAUCACCUCUAGGGAUGGGGCACCCACAGCUCUGGGCAGCAGUGCCAGGGCCUCAUCGCCUUCUGGGCGAAUACCUUCCUCCUCGUUUCAUUUGAAGCCGUUCCCCCUCGUCCUAUCACUAUCAGACCACAUAAAGUCAGUCCCCAUCCUGCCCGUGAGCCCCUGAAGUGCUGGAAGGCCGCACUGAGGUCUCCUUGGAGCAUUCCCUGGGCUGGGAGGCACGCAGGGUGCUGCCUUCAGGCCCUGCAGCACGUGAGGGUGAGAGCAGCUGCCCGCAGCGCCGGGUCCGUGCCCUCAUCUGCCACGGCGUGUGCAGGCUGGCACGCUCGGGGCUCUUUGUCUGCUGCUGGCUGCGCCUGCGGUUGCUCUGCAAGAGGUCCGAGAGCUUUUCUGCCUGAGAUUAGAAACGGGCGAAAGGAAGUGGAAAAGAGGGGGAAGCGGGCUUACUGAGCGCCUCAGCAGCUGCUGCCAAAUCACAUUUUGGGAUUCAGUUCUAUUUUCAAUACAGCGCCGGCUGCCAAGGCUGGCAAACUGCGAUCCCGCUGGAAGGAGGAGGGCAGGGAGACGUCAGCACGGCUCUGCAGAGGGGGGACAGCGCUGGGUUCUGCCUGCUUCCUUCUGCGGGGAACCAAGAGGUUCGGGGGCGGGGAGGCAUUUUCCAGGGCUUUUUUUUAUUUUUUUUUCAGAAAUGGAGCAAAACAAUGGGUUUGAUUUACACUUCAGAUGUGGUUUCCUGUCUCCUCUCACGUCAUUUGCAUACGGUUGGGAAUAGUUUGGUUUAACUUUCUUUUCUAGGUGCGUGGCAGGGUAUGGUUUCCCUUAUCUCAGGGUAUGGUUUCCCUCACGAUUUCCGAGUGGACGUAGCAAGGAGCGAACAAAUCCAGGCUGGCAAAACUGGUUGGAAUCAGCAAAGAAACGACAGGCUGCGCAGAGUUGUUGAAGUGUCUGAAUGGCUGCGAGAGCGAAGCCUGCAGUGUAGGAAGGGAAGAUGGCUGAACAAAGCAAAAGGAACCAAGUUGGGAGCCAAAAAGUGCCUGGGUUUUCUUCCUGCCUUUGUCGUGCCUCACUUGUAGCCUUGGAAACGGAGAGACAGAGGGGUUGGGAAAGUUGCUAAUAGUAAAAACGGAGAUAAGACGCCGUGCACGGCUCCCUUUUCGGUUUCACUUUGAGACUGGCGAGGCGGUGAAUGGCCGAGGACAGUGCACAGCGGUGGGCACUGCUUAUACCUCCGUGGGCAGGAGGGUCUGCAUGAUGAACUGGGCAUGGCUCAGCUCAGCAGGAUUUGUCCGGGUUUUUGUCCUGGGGGGGCUGAACCGAUGUUUGUUUAGCAGGUUGAGGUGUUGGCGUGUCGGCAUUCCUGGAUAGAAAGGGUCGUGCGUUGCCCUUUAAGAAAAUAAGAGAAAAAAAUGUGGAUUUGGGAAAGCUGAAGCAAAAUGAUCGUAGUAGGGAAUCCUAGAAGCUGCGUGUUUCUGGAAAGAGCCGACAAGGAAUAGUUCCCGAAUAUGCAGGGGGAAAUUCUAGCAGUUAAAAUAUGGCCAAGAAUAGACAGAAGGUGAAGAGAACAGCGAGUCACACAACCAGGGCUUGCAGGUGGAGGGCAUGGAGCCAACGCUGAGCCCCCCUCCCUCCCAGCACACGUGCCCAAGCCCGUGACUCCUCCUACAGGAGCCAUCCAAGGCAACUUCCAACUUUCCAGAGCAUGUAAGGAAAAUGAUUGUUUUAAUAACUUUAUGUCAGCUGAAGGACCUGGAAAGGGAGCGGUUUGGUUUGCUCUUUGUAGACGUGUUAAUGAUGGGGGAUCUUUCAGAAGUCGGCUUGCAAGGACGGGAGGACAAACGCAAUUAUAGGAUGUGUAAAAUGGAAAUCAGGCACCGGGACGGGAACUGGAGUGCUUCAAAGUCGAGAAGCUGCCAGAUAGCAUCUCAGAAAUACUGGCAUCUGAUAUCCUACAGCUUCUUUGAGGAAAGUUUGCUGGGGGAAACCAGGUGGUCCUGCCGACACUGCAUAGCCCUGUGCUCUGUGUGCUUUGUACAGAUCGGGGGUAAUUUCACACUGACCCAUUUUAUACCUGAAAAAAAAAAAAACCUGUGCAGUUACUGAGUCAUUUAAAAUACCUCUGAGUGUUGCUGUGUCCCCCGGGGAUGUGGUUGCACUGCUGGAUUUCCUUCCCAUUUCUCCCUUAGCGCUCUGAAAUCCGCAAGCUGCUGCUGGCCCAGACUGCUGUCUCUAUGGGGAAGCAGAGGGUGGGUCAGUGGGUGAAUUACAGUCAUCUGAUCGGGGGCUCAGAAGAUACGAUCUCUCCUCAGUUUUCUUCCCUUGUAAUGUCAACACUGUGGUUUUUAGAGAAUAAUACUUUGCACGUACGCUCUGAGGUUCCAGCUUUGGCUCCGACUUGUCCUAAAAACCACUCUGCUGGGUUUGAUCUGAUACGGGUUACCAUCUGACAGCUCUUGUCCCUCUAAGAAACUCAUUUCCAAGUUCUGUAUUACAAAAGCUUGAUCAAAAGAUAAAACUGGAACUAAUAAGAUGAAUAAUUUACCGAGAUGAAAGAAAAAUGGAACGGGGCAAAGCUGAGAGCCUGAGGCACCGAUGUGUUCCCAAAAGUCUGUCUUGUCUGUGGUGACUCUUGCUGACCGUAGUGUAUCUCUUGUGACUGCUACCAGUACUGAAAAUGAGGCCAUUUACUGCCCGAAAAUAAGAUUUAUCAAGGCUUAUAGAGACAUUAAGGUUGGAAAAGACCUUCAAGACCAUCUGGUCCAACCCACCCCCACCGUGUGCACUGACCGUGUCUCUCCGUGCCACAUCUCUGUGGUUCCUGAGCACCCCCUGGGAUGAUGACCCCACCACUGCUCUGGGCAGCCCAUGCCAGUGCAUCACUGCUCUUUCAGAGAAGUCUUUCCUGAUGUCCAGCCUGAACGCAACAGCUCAGUAAACCACUCCACCUGACACGAGCAAGUUUUUCCUUCCUUCCCAGUACCUUCCACCAGCUCCUGAGUGCUGUGUGCUUUCCAUCCUUCAGGUGACUGUGAUGUGAGACAACACGCAUCGUGGGUGCGCUGGGAAGAUCUAUGAACCCGCUUCUUGAAGGCAGAAGCUGCUGCACUGAGCAAAGGGCAGCCGGCUGUGCCACUGCUGCUCGGCACCGUGCCCAUCCUGCACAAACCCAGCUCCCAGGUACAUUGCUGCCUCUUGCUUUGGGCUGCCCUGGGCACUGAAGGCCUUGCUUCUGCGCUGCCAGCAUUGACAGCAGUGUCAGUGCUGACAGGAGCAGUACCACGCAAAUAGGAGCCUAAGUGGGAUAUGUAAAGUGCAUCACAACCUACGGAAUGGUUGUCUGGAUUUGUUUAUAUGGAGACUGCAACAAUUGGAUGUCUGGGUUGAGCUAGAUCAUAGAAUCAUAGAAUGGCCUGAGUUGAAAAGGACCACAAUGACCACCCAGUUCCAACCCCUGCUAUGUGCAGGGUCACCAACCAGCAGACCAGGCUGCCCAGAGCCACAUCCAGCCUGGCCUUGAAUCCCUCCAGGGAUGGGGCAUCCACAGCCUCCUUGGGCAACAUGCACCAGUGCAUCACCACCCUCUGGGGGAAAAAUGUUGGAUAGACUCUUGUGGUAGUACCCACAGUGUAUACCCAACCACCUCUAGGGUGCAAAGCUAAGUUUGAAAGGCAUGGCUAACAGGCCUUACAGUUUGUGUUCCUAGCACUUCAACCACAGAGUUAUAAAUUGCUCUGAAUAACUAUCUUCAGGACAGCUACGCUCAAGGAGACUGCAUUUAUGGCUGUUCUCUGGUAGCAGUCGGGAGCCAGCAGUUUAACAGCAUGUUUGGCCUCCUGUUUGGCACUUGGCUGUGGGAUCGUGGGCACACCUGCAGUCCAGGCUGUGCUCAGCAGGGUGGGAGCUGCCAGAGCUCAGCACAGGCUGCCUAGCAAAGUGUCUGAGGGCUGGGACGUGGUGUCCGUGAGAUGCUUUGAGGGGCUUGGGAAGAGGAGGGGGGAACGUCACAGCUGUUUCCAUGAGAGGCUGUGGAGAAGGUGAAGUGUAACGUCUCAGGAGUGAGAGGAUGAGAAGUAAAGAGCACAGACUGCAAACAAGAGGUUUCCAUGAGCCAUGAGGGGGAAAUUCUUGGCUGUGAAGAUGGUCGGGUGGCCCUGGAAGUGGUGGCACCUCUAUCUCAAAUAGACUGAAGCCAGUUAAAGCACCAUUAGUAGCAAAAUCAAGUACAUAAACAUGGAAUUAAUUUCAGAUUUAUUUUCUCUCCAGUGAAAUGCUCGUGCAUUGUGAGAUUCAGUAGACAUGUUCUUGAUCUACCUUUUUUUGGUUCUUGGUCGUUGCUGUGUAUGUUUUAACUUAUCUUUUUGGUCAGCUUUUUCCCUAGGAGUUCUUUUAUCCUAUUUCUUUAACAUCUGUGAUUAUAACAUAAUACUGGUUUGGAAUGAUUCGUCCAGUGAGCUUCAAAGGCUUGAACUUCAGUAUCUUUCUUGUGAAAGGACAGAUUGGAUUAACAAGUAUGCACUGCGUAAGGACUAAACUUGUUCUGGUUGAAGGGAUCUUUCAAAAAUACUUGAAAAACGGGGCAGUGUGCUUGGAGGUGUGGGGAUGUGUUGGAGUAAGGUGGGCCAUUUCUUAGUAGUGAGAAAAUGUGAAGCUGACUCAAUAAAAUACAAGAGGUGGCAGGAAAGCUUGUAGCAUUUGCCAAAUGCGGUCACUUGGGUUGGAUGCGUGUCUAAUUUGUCCUUAUGAGUCGGUAAACAGAUUCUCUUCUGUCCGUGGAAGUUGGCAGAUGCUGCUGAAUUCAGCCCCACGGAGGGAGGCAGGUGGGAUGCACUGUGAUGGGUUGAUGGAGGGCGUUUCUCAUAGACGUUUGGAUGGAUUUCUUUGUGCGUGUGUUUUGUUGCCUAUAACUUUUGCAGUUCAUGCAUUUUAGCUCAAGGUGUGCGCUCAGGGAGAUGACAGGAGAUGGCUCCCUGGCCCAGCAGUCUGAUGGGGCCCUGCUGUGGAAAUCCCAUGUCCUCUCACUUCUCUCUGAAUUGCACGGUGUUAAGUGAUUUGUGAUUCCAGUGAGACAAGCUCUACUGUUAGCCUGGAUUGCUUGCAAGUGAAGCAAACUUAACACUCUUCCUAUUGCCACCACGUUAGAGAGCUGCUGUCUGAGAUGUGCCACAGGUUCAGAGCGUGACUUCACAGCAGCUAUUUAAGCCUCACUGUCCUUUGGACACUUCACAAAGGCAACUGCACAGGUCUCAGCACAGCAGCAGUUUGCUUCUGCUUCCAGGGGCGGUGAGUGGGAUCAGAUGUAUAAAUGGCAGAGCACGCCAGUUAAAUGCUCUCUGAGCAUCUUCUACUUGAACAAAUUGUUAGCUUUAGCCUGGCGACUGCGUACAAAUAUCAGUGGAUAACCCAGCUGCAGUUGCAGUGCGUUCUGUUAUCACAUAGCAGUCUGAGCAGCUCUGGCAUGCAGAAACUUUCAGUGAUGGGCUUUGCAGCGUUGCUUGAUUUAUUUGCUCUGAAGCAACGAGUUUGAAUAUUUUUGUUCCAGGUUGCUAGGCUUUUAAAGCAGCUUUGGUUUUGCAUGAAGCAUGUAGAAAGCUGCCCAGUUUCUGAGAACACUGUAGGACAGCGUGCAGCAGCUCACAGCCUGCCCUCAGCGAUGACAGCAUUUAAUGCAACUUGUUAGCAAAGGAAGGGAUAUUUCCUUGUAUUCUGCUGCUUUCCUGGCUAACGAAGUUGUGUGCGCUGACUGCGGUGCUGUAAAAGCAAGGUCAGUCUGGUGGGAUGCUCUUUAUCCCUUUGUGCAGGGCGCCUGUGGCAUCAUCAUAUGUAGUCCACCUGCGUUCUUUGGACUCUUUAUCCAAGAUAGAAGGCAUCAUAGCAAUUAAUUUGAAGAGCUAUGCGGAGAGAUGGUAUUUUUUUCUAGAAGGAUUGUAUAGGAGUCCUAUAGAAUCUAAACCAGAUGACUUUCUUAGAGUAAAACGUUAUCUGAAGGAGUUGGGUCUAUACUUUAUGAUAGUGUUGGCUCUAAGCAGCUGGACUGGCUGCAUAUGGGUUUGGAGCCAAGCCCUUUGCAGGGCAUCAUAACCAUAAUGCGCUGACAGUGUGUGGUGUGGAGGUGGCUUGAAGCUGGGAAUGGAAACUCCUGAUGUUAAAGCCAUGUUUUACCAGCAUUAAAAAGGAAUUAUAAACAGGAGUUGUAAACAGCUUAAGAAAAGCUUGAGUAUAUUAUAGCCCAAAUAAUCCUAUGGUUGUCAUAAAAGCUGAUGUUGCGAGGUUGCGGUGGAGCUUCCUUAGUGCCGUGGUGCUGAGCUCCUUGCAGGGAGAUGUGGAAUCAAUGCGGAGGAGGGCUUUUUAAUUCAUGACACAUUGCUGCACGUGGGAUUCAUGGUUGCCAUCAGAAAGGUAAUUUUCCUUGAUGGCUGUGGUAGGCUGCAGAUUGAGAGAUACAAAAGUGUUGCAUUGAAUUAGCAUGCCGUCAACGUGCCUUUGUCUCACAACUUCUAUCCCCUAAAUAGCUGUUUAGCUAUCCUAAGUGUCAGAAGCAAGAAAACUGGACCUUUCAAGGUUAUAGCUCUUCAUGCUCAGGUAAUGCAAUUCAGAAGAGCCCGAACACAACAAAUCAAAUCGUGUGAGGCGAUGCGUGGCUUCGUGCUUCUGCAGUUUUGAAAAAGUACAUAUAGAUUUCCAUUGUUCCAUUCCAGAGAGCCCUUGAAGUAUGUCAGGUAUUUAUAGCUUUGGAUGUCUCACUUGUACAUGCUGGAGUUAAUGACUCACACCUUUUCCAAACAAUUGAAGUGCUUCCUGAAUAGCAGAGAAAACAUUCCUUCCUCUGCUCAAGCACUGAUUCACGUUCUGAUUCACAUUUGUUUGUUGUCGUGUGGCAAACACCAUUUGGCAUGUUUACUCCUAGGUCUUAAUUACCCUGCAGCAGUACUUUUCUCUUUAUAGAUCUUAUUUCCUUUCCUCUUCUCAGCUGUGUCAUGAGACAGCACCUAAAUUAAUCCCAAAAUAGAAGCCUCCUUCUUCCUUCCAUCUUCCCUCCUCUCUCCAGCUGUGUGCUUCUGCUGCUUCCCUUCUCACCAGCACCUGUGGGCCCUCCUCCAAUCUCAACGUGCUUGAGCAGCAAGAAAUAAACCCAGGGAAGGAUGAAGGUUUUAGCAGUAAGUGUGCAGUCCUGACUGGCUUGGUGAGGAGUCCGACUCCCAAACAUCGAUACCAGCACAGAGGAGGGACACAGCACACAUAAUGGUAUAGCUGUCAAGAAAUGGGCCUCAGGAAGGCUUGGGGAUGUGCUGGGUGGUGCUUCGUUAGCCGAGUGACUGCUUAUGGUAGCAAACUUAACCACACAGAAGGCUGUCAGCAGCACCAAGGUGGCCAAGAGGCGGUGAGAAAGGUAAGCAAUAUGUUGUCUUUGUCUCCUGAGCCACCAGCUCUGUGUUCCCAUCAGCAUUAUGCAAUUUCUUGCCCCCUUGUUUGUGCAGAAAUGAAUGCGUGGGACUACAGUGGAGAGCAGACGUGGACUGUUGUGUGCUUGGUGCCUGGGGUGUGGGACAGGAGGGAGCUCAGCGAGGCUGUUACAAGUCAUUUCACUGCUCCUCAGGUCAUCAGACCCCACGGAGCAAACCUGCAAAGCAUUUGGAGGGUUGGGUGGGGAAACAACAGCCGUGUAGUUGAGUUUAUCACGAGAGAAAGCAUUAUUUGCCUGUACUGCUGGGUUGUGCUGGUACCUCUCUGCCUUCACGUGGAUUAACAAAAAGUUGGAGAUAUUAAGCCAGUAAUUUGUUGUUUAAAAGUACAGUUAAACGUUUGUAGGCUUAAUGUGGCUUUUGUGACAAGAUGUAGGAUGUGGUUAAAGCGCAGUUAUUUUCAGCAUUGACGCCCAGCGAGACGGCGUGCUGUGAAUGUGAAGCUGUGUGCUGCUGUUGUCUGCCCUGUGCUGAAGAAUUCGUAGCAUGCAAGAUCAGAUCUCCCCGAGAUGGCCCGCUUUGCCUCGCCGCUGUUACCCAAUCACUCUUCAUUCUGUUCGUUCCUCUGCCCCUUAUUUAUAUACCUCUUCCUGUUUUUCCCCCUCGUUCCCUGUGUGCUUGAACGCAGUCUGUUUCCCUCUCUUCCAUUGAAAUGGACCGGUGGUGCUCAUUUGUUUUUCCUCCCACCUCCAAACGGCUCGGAUUUGUUUCCCCUUCAGGUAAUUUCUACUGUUGACUAAUUACAGUCACGACUUGUUUCUGCUCCGUGAACUCCGCAAGUUAAAUCCUCUCAAAUUCCAACAGGCAGUCAAUCCUAUAGGCAGUUCUGCAAAAUAAUCUAGCAAAAAACACCGGUAGGAAACUAGCAAUCUUCCCCUGCCCAAAAUAAACCAAUACGCAACCGCAGGUUUCCCCACCACAUCCCGCACAAACGUCCAUCUUCACACGUAAGUAUAAAUAUUUGGAAUACUACGAGAUUCCUGUGGGCUCUUUAAGAGAAAUGACCUUCUUUUGCUAUCCUGGCUUGUAAAGAAGAAAUAAUUUGAAACCCGGCGAGCUUCCCCUGCACUCGCCCAGGCAGACCACACAGAGUGCAGUGUGCGUGUAGGAAGGACAGCGGAGGGCUGCGCUGUAAGAGCACAUCAGAGGAGUCUGGAGGGAAGCCAUGUAUAGACAAGGCAGAUGAGGAACAUGACAACUGGAAGCUGGUUCAUUCUCGUCUUUCUCUGCAGCAUUUUGGGGAAGAAAUGGAGCUAAUACUCCUCCUACCUCGAAGCUGUGCCUUAAGGGAGCCGUUACGAUUGCUCCUUUCUUUGCACAGAGGCUAAACUGGUCAUUUCAUAGCCGCGCGGUGUUAAUGCGAGGGAAAACAUCUGCUUUUUAGCACUGGAAAACACAGGCGGAGUUUGUUAGCCGUGUGUAUUGCAGGUGGUGCCCCAGCUUUGGGAAGCUCGUUUUUGUGUGGGGUUUGGAGGUUUGAAGCGAUGAUCUCUGCUAUUCAGAAUGUUGGGAACUUUGUGCAGCGGGAAUAGGGCAGAGCGUGGGGAAAGCACUCGUUGGUGUACCUUUAUGCUCUUCUCUGUUUAUCCACUGCACAAAAGAAACAGAAGCCCAUCUUGUCAAAUAAACUGGUUGUCAUCUGUCUGCAAAAGCUGCCUCUCUUCUGGCUGCCCCGUCUUUCAGAUUUUAAUCAGCUUUGUGGUAUUUGGAGUGGUUCCCUUUCCACAAGGGAAGUUGUGACUUGCUGCAGUGGAUGGAUCGUCUCUCAGGUUUCACAUUAGCAAGGAAAAUCAGAAUAAAAGCCUGUCUGCUUACCAUCAGGUUCUCACAGGUUUUGUCUGUGAAACAGCUAAAUAACCUUGCCAAGGUGCUUUAUUUUGAUAGGCCCAAUAUCACGUUAACCAAGAAAAUUAGGCUCGGAUGACAAAUACCUCCUGAUGCAAUGCACUGCAACAGCACUGUGUUGGUAACUUUGCAUUUGUCUUGUUUCCUUCCCGGGUUAUUAUACAUGUGUGCAAUAAAAAUGGGCAGCCCCAUAUACAUCCAGCUGUUUUCCACUUCCAGCUGAGCAGAGAUGGACUGGGGUGAAUUCGUUUUCCUCUUGACUCAUUGCAAACUCACACUCCAGUCGUUCCAGUUAAACAGAUUAGGGGUACCAGGGAAAGAAAGGAAGGGAAAAACAGCAUCUUAAUGUUUACAUUAACAAGGGACAACCUGCUGUCAGGUAUGUGGUCCGUGAAUGGAACAAAUGUUCUUCAGGUGGAUUACGUGGUAAAUAAGCUGGGAUGAUUCAAAACAUACCCAACUUCUUCCAAAAGCUCAGAGCAGUGCUCGCAGAAAUGCGUGCGUAGACCAACUGCAUAACAAAUGGAUUGUGUUUGAUAUCCACACUCCAGAUGUAAAUGGGUCUUACAUAAAAUCAGACCGGUUAUCCAAUAGGUGAUGCAGAAAUGGGUCUGGUGUAGAUGAAACUUCUAUGAUGUAGAUUUUUGUUUUGGACUUGUGGGGAAAUGGAGGUGCUUCGGCCACUGGGAAAUGUUAAAUGUUGGGUUGGAAAGAUAAGAAUUGGGUGUGGAUACAAGUCUGCCUGUCCGUGUUUGGAAAAGGUGGACAGAAGCUUUUGUAGUGGUAAACAUUGGUUCUGUGACCAAAAUGAUUCACAGGGACACAUUCAUUUCCUGAGCUACUUUUCCCCACGAGAGAUGUAAAGUCAGAGGGAUGCUCCCUUCAACCAAAAGGGCUGGUUUCAAGCUUCUCACGUGGGUGGCAAAUCUACACCUUAAAGAAAUGUUCUCAUGUUGCUUUGGUUUCUGUCCGUUGUUCCUUAUGGAAGUGCUGCUUUGGCACAGUGUGCUUUUGGCUCUGCUGUCUCCACUAAUUGGCAUUUCAUCUUGCCAUGGGCUACUGAGGUCCCAGCAUUCUUUUGCUGCACUAAAUAAUUCAGACUGUCAGUGCGCUGAGCACUUGCUCCAAUGACUAAGCAGGAUGUUUUGGGGACAGACUAAUAUGCAUUUUGCUGUGUGCUCAUAAAAAGUUGCUACUGAGACAGAUAGGAACAUUAAAAGAUUGUAUCCUUUUGUUCCUUGUUCAAGUCCUUACUUACCAUUCCUUGCACAAUUAACCUUUUACAGCUGUGGUAUGCAAAACCAUUGUGGAUACCCCAUCCCUGGAGGCACUCAAGGCCAGGCUGGAUGUGGCUCUGGGCAGCCUGGUCUGCUGGUUGGUGACCCUGCACAUAGCAGGGAGUUGGAACUGGAUAAGCAUUGUGGUCCUUUUCAACCCAGGCCAUUCUAGGAUUCUGUGGUUCUAUGAAAACACUAUCUUGUUCUCUUGAAUGUCAUUGGGUGUUUUUCACUGGGGUUAACAUGAAGACCUCAGUUUUAUACAGAUGCCUCUCUGAAGGGAAGAAAGCAUUAGUCAGCCUUAAGGUUUAUUUGUAGAGGUCUGAAUUCAGGAAAUGGCAUUGUUACGCAAGGCUUGCAGCAGCUGGAAGAAAGGAGAUGGGUAUGCUAUGGCCUGGGAGGGGAGCUGGGCUGGGAGGUUGGUUAGCUCAGGCACUGCUCGUCCUGCUUUGCUGUGGAAGCUUUUCAUUUCUUCCUUGGGAACAGAACAGGGAUUGGGGAUCAUAAGGAAAGUGUUGGUGUACGUAGACUGAAGAUGCUUUUAUUCUUUGUGCAGAAGCUUUUUCUGCUCGUUCAGGAGAUCUGGGCAUGCUUGGCUCCUGACGUUUCUUUCCAGGGACUCAUUACAAUGAAUGCACAAGUACUAUCAGAUCAUUCUUAUUCAGCUACAUGAUUAACAAAAUGGAAAGAUGGAGUGAUUAAACAAUGGAACUGUAGCUGUCCCUCGGGAGCACCUCAGCAGUUGUGCCUCAGCAGUUCCUACCUGAUUCCAGCACAGUGGAGGGAGCAGCACCAAGCGUGUCC